ensembl:lncRNA
CUGUGUGCGGUGCUUCUGCGCACGGCCCUGGAGCUGAGGUGUUGGCACAGCUGUUUGGUUCUGGGAAUACUACUCUGAAGGCCGGAGGGCAAGGCCUCUACAUGCGUCACCCUGUGAGCGUGUGAAAGAGACUAACCACAAAGGAGAAAAAAAGGUUGUGAAGCCAGGAAAGGACAAGGUGUACUGAUACUGUUUGCCAAGUUCAUACCAAACUGUGAGUUCCUUGAGGGGUCAUCCUGGCUGCUGUGUUGAGAAUAGACUAAGGUGAAAAUGCAGGAACUUCAGUUAAGAGGCUUCUACGCUAUGUUCUCUUGCUUGAAUACACCAGAGAGCACAGGACACCUGAUGGAUACUCAGCAGAGAUAAGGUGCAUUGACAGACUUACAGGGCUACACAAUGAGCAGGUGGUGGUGGGAGAAUGUUGCUAAAGGAAGUGAGACAAGAAACUGUUAAAGACUGAAAACCCCCAAAGAUCUCGC